GCAACACUGGAUUCUUAACCCACUUUGUAAGGCCAGGGAUCGAAACUGCAUCCUCGUGGAUACUAGUUAGAUUCAUUUCUACUGAACCAUGAUGGGAACGUCAUAAAAGCAGCAGUUUUCUUGAAGAGCUGCACAACAUCCCCCAUUUUCUGCGGUGAAGAGUUCAAGAUCCCUUCUGUUUUGAAGGACAGCUGCUGCAAUGGAAUCUAUUUGAUCGUGAAAAUUCUCUACAAUUACCACCCCUGCCUGACAGACACCACAGCUGAGAGAAGGGAAGAGACAUGGCUAUAUGGUCUGCCCCCAAAGGCUGUAGGAGAAUAUCUUUUUCCCCCUUUGUAGGGCCUGGAGACUGAGAGAAGAGGCAAUGUUCCAGCUGAAAUUCCAGACUAUUGGCUGCAGAAUUCAUUCUUGCUCAGGGGAGGUCAGUCUUUCUUGUUCUGUUUAGCUUUUAGCUAAUUGGAUGAUGUCCACCCACAUUAAGAAGGGACAUUCACUUUAUUCAAAGCCCACUGAUACAAGAGUAAAUCAUAUUUUAAAAAAACUCUCACAGGAUCAUCCAGAAUAAUGCUUGACCACAUAUCUGAGCACCAUGGCCAGCCAAUGUGACAUAUAUAAUUAAUCAUUACAAAUUCAUUCAGCUAUUCAAUAAAAUACUUUUAGAUGCUUCUGUGAAAUAUUUUGCAAAUAUGAUUGUAGUGUCAAAUGUUUUAAAAAGGCAGUUAUCCUUGGUGUUCUCGAUCUAAACAAGCAACUCUAAAAAAAGAUAUCUUCCUGGUGAAAGAGAUUUGAAAUGAAGCAUGAGAGGAUUUAACACAAAAGAGAGCCUCCAUUUUUAGCUUUGAAAAUUUAGGAGGUAAGGAAUGCAAGUGGCUUCUAGGAGCUGAGAAUAGCCCCAUAUUGACAGCCAACAAGGAAAUGGCAACAUUAUUAUGAAAAUUGCAAGGAAAAAAAAUUGCCCAACAAUUUCAGUGAACUUUAGAUUCUUUCCCAGAAUAUGCAGACAGGAAGUCAGUCUAGCCAACACCAUGGCUUGAGCCUGUAUGAUCUUAAAAGAGGAGCAUAUCAACUUAUACCUCUUCUUGUGACUUAUAGAACUAUGAAUUAAUAAACAGCUAUUGUUAUAAGCCACUAAAUUUAUACCAUUGUUACAUAGUGAUUGAAAACUAAUAUAUAGCCCAUGCAAUUCUUGCUGUCCAGGAGUACCUUCCCCAGUACUUGUCCUCUGUUUUGGUCCACUUGAUCUCUGGAUAAAGAUAUAUCCGAGCCUAGUAAUAGCCUAUCUUGAUGACUUGGAGACAUAACCACUAAUGGAGCAAACACACUAAAAAAAGAAAACUCUAAAAAAUAAUAAUGACUAGUAAGUAAUAGUACUACUGACUCAUCUUGCCGUAGCCAAAUGUACAAUUAAGAAAAUGUUUUCUAAAGAUAAAUAGAGGUUUCGUAUAUGUAGAUUAAUAACUCCAACUAAAAAAAAUGCCCCAAAUAAGUGUAAUAUCUUGGUAUUCUUUAUGACAAUGCAUUUACAUAUGGAAUAUUUCAAGAUUUUUUUAAGUGCCUUCAAUUAUUAAAUAUUAAUCUUUGAAUUUAGUCAUAGGUGUUGAGGACACAUAUUCUUAUUAAAUGUAGACAUUCUAUGUUCAAAUUCUUUUGUUUGUUUAUUUUCUUUUUUUUGUUAAUUUUUUUAUUAUGUUCAAAUUCCUGAUAAUUUCUUUUUUCAAUCGUAAAAAAUAUUCUUUAGAAGGAGAUUUUAUUAUAAGCUAAGGAAACGAACUUUCAGGGCCUCUCAUCCUUCUGUGCUCCUCCCUACUCCCUGGGCUUUGUUCUGUGUGACGUGGCAGAAAUGCCAAGAAAGUAACAUUCAACAGUAUCAAAAAGGUUUAUUCUCUAAAUAUUUGAAGAAAACUGGAAAAACUUGAAAAAAGUGAACAGAAGCUAUUAAAUUUUAAAAAUUAACAAAAAA